UACGAAGGGGGGCUAGCGUUGCUCGGAAUGACUGGGCGUAAAGCGCACGUAGGCGGCUUUGCAAGUCGGAUGUGAAAUCCCUCGGCUUAACCAAGGAAGUGCAUCCGAAACUGCAGAGCUUGAGUACUUAAGAGGAUCGCGGAAUUCCCGGUGUAGAGGUGAAAUUCGUAGAUAUCGGGAGGAACACCAGUGGCGAAGGCGGCGAUCUGGGAAGAUACUGACGCUGAGGUGCGAAAGCGUGGGGAGCAAACAGG
rnacentral:rRNA from 1 species